rnacentral:rRNA from 1 species
CCUACGGGAGGCAGCAGUGGGGAAUAUUGCACAAUGGGGGAAACCCUGAUGCAGCGACGCCGCGUGAGUGAAGAAGUAAUUCGUUACGUAAAGCUCUAUCAGUAGGGAAGAAAAUGACGGUACCUGAGUAAUAACCCCUGGCUAACUACGUGCCAGCAGCCGCGGUCAUACGUAGGGGACAAGCGUUAUCCGGAUUUACUGGGGGUAACGGGAGCGUAGACGGUGCGCCAAGUCUGGAGUGAAAUGCCGCAGCUUAACUGCGGAGCUGCUUUGGAAACUGGCGAACUAGAGUGCGGGAGGGGUGAGCGGAAUUCCUAGUGUAGCGGUGAAAUGCGUAGAUAUUAGGAGGAACACCGGUGGCGAAGGCGGCUUACUGGACCGUAACUGACGUUGAGGCUCGAAAGCGUGGGGAGCAAACAGGAUUAGAUACCCGAGUAGUC